GAGGCACGUUGGGAAACUCCACUUCACCCUCCAGGUCUACUCAGAACGCUAGGAGACGAAUCGCGGGGUCUCACCAUUCCUAGGCUGCCAGCUCCAACAAUUUCUCCGCGGCGACGACAGGAGCCGCAGGGCCAAAGCCGGCUUCCGUGAGACACAUCUACUUCCGGGUUGCGAACGAAGGGUUGGAGGAUCUUUUCCGGUUCGUCCUGGACGCAUUUUUGACCACUUGAUACAAGGGAGAGUUAUUUGGGAAGAAGCUCAACGGAGAAAAUGCCUCCAUCAGAGUGGCCUGUGGGCAGUUUCUGCCUCCAGGCUCCUGCUUUGAGUUCCUGCCCGACUUCCCCUGAGAAUGGACCUGCAAUCCAAAUAAAUUAUCCACCCUGA
rnacentral:lncRNA from 1 species